GGGGUGAUGGCCUACCAAGCGACGACGGGUAGCCGGCCUGAGAGGGUGUCCGGCCACACUGGGACUGAGAUACGGCCCAGACUCCUACGGGAGGCAGCAGUGGGGAAUAUUGCACAAUGGGCGCAAGCCUGAUGCAGCGACGCCGCGUGGGGGAUGACGGCCUUCGGGUUGUAAACCCCUUUCAGCACAGACGAAGCGCAAGUGACGGUAUGUGCAGAAGAAGCACCGGCCAACUACGUGCCAGCAGCCGCGGUAAUACGUAGGGUGCGAGCGUUGUCCGGAAUUACUGGGCGUAAAGAGCUCGUAGGUGGUUUGUCGCGUUGUCCGUGAAAACUCACAGCUUAACUGUGGGCGUGCGGGCGAUACGGGCAGACUGGAGUACUGCAGGGGAGACUGGAAUUCCUGGUGUAGCGGUGGAAUGCGCAGAUAUCAGGAGGAACACCGGUGGCGAAGGCGGGUCUCUGGGCAGUAACUGACGCUGAGGAGCGAAAGCGUGGGGAGCGAACAGGAUUAGAUACCCUGGUAGUCCACGCCGUAAACGGUGGGUACUAG
rnacentral:rRNA from 1 species